AUUAACACCACCUAAAGGUGUAAAUAGCAGACUGAGCACUAUACGCAGGUCUAUAACACGGCAAUUACCCUUAGAAACUGAUCAAAGCGAAAUUACACCUCGUUGGUGUGCAAAUCACACCCAUACAACACCUUAUGGAAGUGCAAUUCUGAACUUAAACACCUAGCUUUUGUUCAUUUACGAAUAACACCUUCCUGUAGUGUAGAUGAUCGCGCUUCAUGUGUGCUGUGUUACUGACAAAGGAUCCUUGAUCUGCGAUUGCCGCAUUUUUGUCUUGGCUCAACACUGCUCUGAAGUGUAAUGUACCGGAAGGCAAAGGCGCAUGCGCGUGACGCCGCUCGCUCCCACGCGGCUUUCAGUGCGCCAUUGUGCUUCAACGAACGUGGUUGUUAGUGUGCUGAGCUGGUGUGACUAUUGAGCAUUGAGGAAGACCCACCUGCUCCGGAACGGAGAAGGAACUCGAACACCUUCUACUAGAGAUGCGUGAGGAGCAGGACGUUUUUGGCCCUGUGACAACGAACGGACCGUCCACCAUCGCAGAUGGCGCACUUUGGGUCGAAAGGGAGAAGAUCGCCAAAUUCCAAACAAUGGGGAACAUGCAGGACGAGCUGUACAUCACGAACAUCGCUAUCUUUUUCGGGCGCGCUCGAAGGCGCUGGACUCGAACGCCUAGCCCCGGUUCACAUCUGCAGAGGACUCGCCGUUUCAUGUACUUGUUGCAAGGAUCAACGUCCAAUAAACGUUAAAAUAUUAUGGCAUUA
rnacentral:lncRNA from 1 species